GUGGCGAACGGGUGAGUAAUACUGGAGUGACCUGCCUUUGACUCUGGGAUAAGCCUGGGAAGCUGGGUCUAAUACCGGAUGCGACUACUGCCCGCAUGGGCUGGUGGUGGAAAGGGUUAUGUACUGGUCUUAGAUGGGCUCACGGCCUAUCAGCAGGUUGGUGGGGUAAUGGCCUACCAAGGCGACGACGGGUAAACGGCCUGAGAGGGUGACCGGCCACACUGGGACUGAGACACGGCCCAGACUCCUACGUUAGGCAGCAGUGGGGAAUAUUGCACAAUGGGCGCAAGCCUGAUGCAGCGACGCCGCGUGAGGGAUGACGGCCUUCGGGUUGUAAACCUCUUUCAGCAGGGAAGAAGCGGAAGUGACGGUACCUGCAGAAGAAGCGCCGGCUAACUACGUGCCAGCAGCCGCGGUAAUACGUAGGGCGCAAGCGUUGUCCGGAAUUAUUGGGCGUAAAGAGCUCGUUAGCGGCUUGUCGCGUGAGCUAUAAAAUCCCGAGGCUUCAACUCCGGGGGUGCAGUGGGUACGGGCAGGCUAGAGUGCAGUAGGGGUAAAUGGAAUUCCUGGUUUAGCGGUGAAAUGCGCAGAUGUCAGGAGGAACACCGAUGGCCCGCAGCGUUACUGAUCUGUUACUGACGCUGAGGAGCGACAGCAUGGGGACGACAGGAUUAGAUACCCUGGUAGUCCGUGCCGUAAACGUUGGGCACUAGGUGUGGGGGGACAUUCCAUGUUUUCCGCGCCGUAGCUAAUGCGUGAAGUGCCGUAAACGUUGGGCACUAGGUGUGGGGGACAUUCCACGUUUUCCGCGCCGUAGCUAACGCAUUAAGUGCCCCGCCUGGGGAGUACGGCCGCAAGGCUAAAACUCAAAGGAAUUGACGGGGGCCCGCUCAAGCUGCGGAGCAUGCGGAUUAAUUCGAUGCAACGCGAAGAACCUUACCAAGGCUUGACAUACACCGGAUCGUUCCAGAGAUGGUUCUUCCCUUUUGGGCUGGUGUACAGGUGGUGCAUGGUUGUCGUCAGCUCGUGUCGUGAGAUGUUGGGUUAAGUCCCGCAGCGAGCGCAACCCUCGUUCUAUGUUGCCAGCACGUGAUGGUGGGGACUCAUAGGAGACUGCCGGGGUCAACUCGGUAGGAAGGUGGGGAUGACGUCAAAUCAUCAUGCCCCUUAUGUCUUGGGCUUCAGGCAUGCUACAAUGGCCGGUAAUGGGUUGCGAUACUGUGAGGUGGAGCUAAUCCCACAAGCGGGUCUCAGUUCGGAUUGGGCUCUGCAUCUCGACCCAUGAAGUGGGAGUCGCUAGUAAU
rnacentral:rRNA from 1 species